rnacentral:lncRNA from 1 species
CGUUCCUGUGGGUUGAGCUUCUAUAGAUCUACAUCAAAGCCCACCCCCAACGACUGCCCCUGCACUUAGGAUAAAAUCCACCCCACUUCCUGUGGCCCAUGAGACCCGCACAGACUGGUGCCUGCCUAUCUCUCUAACUCAGCAAUUUCCAUUCUUCUCCUUCCUCUUAGUCUCCAGCCUCUCUGGUCUUCCUUCGGACAGCCAUUCCUCUGAUGUCAGGUCCCCAGACAGUGUCAGGCUCUGGCCAGGAUGCUGGGAGUUGAUUCAUUCACCCGAUUAUUUGACAGUAUUUGUUGAGUUCCUACUACAUGCCAGGCACCUGUGCUUGGCGUUGCGGAUCCAACACGGGAAGACACAGG